rnacentral:lncRNA from 1 species
UUUGAAUUAAAAACUAUAAUUCUUUAUAUAAGGGUAAACUAUAAUUUGGAACCAUUUACUUCCAAUUUAAGACAAAAAAAAAACAUAAAUUGAGUUUUGAUUUUAAUUUCAUUCUCUCAUUCUAGUGUAAGUAAACAAUUUACGCUCACUCUCAUUCUACAUUCUCUAUCCCUGAACUCCCACUCCUCAGGAUUCCUACUUCAAUCCAAAAUGUAAAUACUACCCAAAUCAUCAUAUUCCUUUUUACCAGUGGUUACUUGGCUGAGUUUGUUAGUACUUCUUCUACUUAACUCUAAAAUGGAGGGUAAGAGUCUCCUGCAUUGACUUUAUUUCAAUUGUAUAUAAUUGUUCUUUUUUUAAAAAAAAGGUUUGAGUCCUUUUCAUUAUCUAAUUAAGUUGUGAAGCCUAUAUAUAUGUAAAGAAAUAAAUUUUAUCUUUAUCUAACGGAUUCGAUUUAAUUACCGUUAUUUUCCACGUGGAACUUGAAUAUAACUUCUAGAUAUUGUUUGACUGUGACAUUCUAGCUUUAAAGAAUAUGAAUAACGUACAAUCUUCACAAAAUAAGUAAAUCUACCGGUAUCAGAAUUUGAUUUGUUACUCAUUUAGCCCAAUAAUCAGAUAGUUAUUUAAUUCCUUAUAUGAAUAACCUAAUUCUAGUAACCAAAUUCUACUAUAUUAAGAGCGUUGUUAGCGUUACAAAAACCUACAAAAACCAAUGAAGAAGGGCAUGAAUAAACAUAAUCACAAUGGGAGAUCAAAAAGCUUUGUUCAUUGCUUUUAUGCUUGCCCUGGCUUCAGGCUUUGGCUUUUGCCAAGCUGAUGCCAGAAAAUUUCAGAUGAAUUUCGGAAUGAUCCCGGGGGACAAACUUUUUCAUCUUCAUCAUUUGCCCCCCGACGGCCAAAUAAAGAAACCUCCGAGACCUCCUGGUUCACAUGGGAGCCCUGCAGUUUUAUAUCCCGAUCCACCACCCCCAGGCCAUUCUUCUUCGAUUCCAGCUAGAUAUUUAAAUGAAAACAAGUUUCUUCAGCAACAUGCAUGAACCUCCAAGGCCUCGUGUUCCAAUUAGGGGCUUUUCAUAAUAAUGUAAGUUUAUCUCGGCAAUAAAAUUAAAGGAGUGAUCAUUAAUUCCUCCCGUUUGCAUGUAAUAGUCUUCAAAUUAUUAGUUAUCUUAAUGUUAUUAUCAAUUAAAUAUGCAAUAAUUAUGUAAAAAGUCUCCAAAUUAAUCAUGGUUUCUAUUAACUUUUCCAUAUGAUGUAUGCAAUCCAAGUUUUGAUUCUGAUACAUGAUCACAUCCACACAAAACGAUGUAUAAACUUAUGUGUCAACACACACACACACACACACUAUAUUCAUAUAGAAAGGAAGCCUUAUUAAAAAUUUAAUUGUUUUCAGCUAAUCACAGUCUAACGGCACACGACAUAAAAGUGCAAAAUUUACAUUAGACCAAAAAGUAGGGCUAGUAGGAUUGCUGUUAGGAUGGUCAUAUAUGAAUGCAGUGUAUUUUUGUCCUAGCUUAUCGAAUUCCCUUGAUAUAUUUCCCUAUUGUAUAUUACUCUUUUGAUCAAACUUAUUUCAACAAGUGAUUUUCAAGCGAUGGUGAUAUGGGUUUUGCCCACUCCCCUAC